rnacentral:rRNA from 1 species
AACGAACGCUGGCGGCGUGGAUAAGACAUGCAAGUCGAGCGCUAGUUACAGGGUAGCAAUAUUCUGUAAUUGGAGCGGCGCAAGGGUGCGUAACACGUGGGCAAUCUGCCGUGAAGUUUG